CCUGUUGUGCGACCGACAGUUGCCUAUCCAGACAUGCUCAACUGGUAACGGCUGGGUAUGAAGCUUUGGAGACAACGUGCCUCUCGAUUGACGGCUCACCCCGGUGACGGGGCGGGUCGACACUGCCAGCCGCCGUGCGGUGUGAGGU
rnacentral:ncRNA from 1 species